rnacentral:tRNA from 1 species
GAGGAUUUGGCUUAGUUGGUAGAGUGCUUGCCUUGCAUGCACAAGGCCCUGGGUUUAAUCCCCAGGCCUCA